rnacentral:lncRNA from 1 species
GAGCUCUACCAACGGAAACAAAUGAACAACCGAAGAUCUGCCAAUGAAGCUCUGGGCCACCCAGGGUCGCCAAUAAGGUUCGCGCCAAGUCCAAAUUUUGGUUCGACCUACGCUAUAAUUAAUAUAUAUCAUUACACACUGCAUAUAUUUAAUUCAAUGUGAUUGUAUAGAAUGGGUUCUGUAGAUGAUAUAUAGUGAAAUGAAUUGUUAUUCUGAUGCUAAAGGUAUUUCCUAAGGAAGCUUAAGAAGGUGAAGAACAGCAACGGUCAAGUCCUUGCUAUUAACGAGUGCACCUUCAUUUUUAAUUUAUUGAAGGCUUAUAUUUUACCAAUUCAAUUAUUGAGAAAUUGGAUAUUUUGAUUCUAUUUAUUCACAUAGUAUGUUUGAUGGAGUACUUCCAUUUUGCAUUGUAGAAAAGAACAUAAUGUGUAUGUUUGCUGUGAUUUUUUUAGUAAAUGCUAUGAUUUUGUGAAAUUUUCAAAUUUUAAGAAAUAAACCUUCCCUAGAUCUAGAGCUUUAAGCUUGGCCUCUUCCUGAAUUCUUAACUUAGUCAUUAUGAGUAUUAAAGAGUUAAUUUAAUCAACAGCCACUGAACUUCGCUAAUUAAUUUAAUAAAUAGCCACUGAACUUCGCUAUGGGUUACUACUUCCGCAUCGAAAUUUAAAAGAUUACUCUUUAGUCACUGAUUUUUACUAUAAGUUACUACUUGCUCGUCGAAAUUUAAAAGAUCACUUAUUGCUCUAUCAAAUUUGAACAAAGUUACCCAUCAAUCACCCAUAUCAUUUCCAUGAGUGUUACUACUUAUUGCAAAGUUUAAUGAGCAACAAGUAACUUUAUCCAAAUUUAGGUGAGCAAUGAGUAAUUUUUUAAAUUUCGAUAAGUAGUAAUAUGCAUCAAAAUUGAGUGAGCAAGUCGUAACUUUUUAAAGAUUAAUAAGCAAUGAGUGACUUUUUAAAUUUCGAGUAGUAGUAUCAUGUAUCAGAAUUGAGUGAGCAAGUAGUAACUUUUUAAAAAUCAGUGAGCAAGUAGUAACUUAUAAUAAAGUUCAGUAACCAUUCAUUAAAUUAUCUCAGUAUUAAAUGUUCAGAUUUUGGUUUUGUUUUCAUUUGCACUAUUGAUCUCGCCAAGAAUGGUUCUUGACAUAGGACAACAAUAAGGAAUGAUUGAGCCAUAGGCUAAAAGAAUAUUUUAUAUGCUGAGUAGUGAUUGUUUUAUCUUGAUGAAUUCCAAUCUUUGACUGGAAAUUAUUUUUCUCUCCACCUAGAACGUGUAUAGUAGUAGUAAGUGGAUAGAGCAGGUAACAGGCUUGACUUGUUACUACAAAAAUAGUGAUUAUGUUGUAGUUAUGCCUUCAAAACAAUUGUUAUUUAUGUGUUUAAUUGCGAUGGUAUAAGCCAUUUUCAGUUCCCGUUUCCCAGCUCUCUGUGAAAGGUUGCAUUAUUUCCUAUUUCAUACACGUAGAAUGUUAUAUAAUCUUUCCAAUAGUCGGCAACUUAGUUUAUACAUAAUGAGAAAGAUUUGGAUAACGUUUCCUAGGAGGUCCAGGUUGUUUUAAUUUGUUCUUCCGAUCUAUAUAGAUAAGUGUAUUUUAUAUACUUAUUCAACGCACUAAAAUAACAAUAUUUGAUAGUUCUUUUGACAAACUAUAUUCUAAAUUGUUGAAUUUUAUGUUUUAUAGGUAACUCUUUAAAUGAAAAGGAAUUGAAGGAAAGAAGCAAAAAAUGACGAAAAAUUGGCUAUUGGAUGGAAGUUGGGGAUCAAAUUCCACAUUUUAAAAAUCGAGGACUUGAAGAAAAUAAUAAAUUAAAGGGGCCUAAUUUUUGGACUUAAAUUUGGAUUCAAAUUCAUUAACUAAUUAGAUUCCUAAUUCAACAUCACAAAGUGGGCUGGAAUUAUUAUGUUUGGUGGAAUUUGACUUCAAAUUGGAGACAAAAAUAUGAGCGGCUGGAAAGAAAAUAUAAUUGGGCCUCUUAAGUAUAAGAAAAAAGACAGCUUGAGGUCAUAUAUAUAAAAAAAGGGUUGUGUUAGCUGGGGAGAUAUAUAUACACACACACACAUGAGACGGAAGAAAGGUGGUUGAAAAAAAAAAAGAAAGAAAGAAAUUCAGUAGCUGGUGGGGAUUGGAGAAAAGAGACAGAAUUUGUCAACAGUUGCUAGAGAAAAAAGAAAGGCAAUUAGCAGCUGCUUGAGGGAAAACAUCGUGGCUAGUUUUACAUAUACAAAUACACAAAAAAGUCGAGGCAGAUUUGAGGGAAAACGGGGCAGCAGCUUGGGGACUUGGGAAAAAAAAGGUUGGCGCCCCCCGGAGCAUAACCCAGUGGUAUAUAGGAUAGGAAUGAGAUAGUCUCAGUCUUAUUGGCAGUUGCAGUGUGAGGGUUCGAUUCCUGAGAUAUGGAAUUGGACUUUUUGUGGGCACCAGUGUACGAAUAAACUCUUGUUUCCUAAUCUGUUGAAGUACAUCUCGCGAUUUACCGUCCUCACGAUACUCCAGGAACGGAACGAUAGGAGCCUUCAAAGUUAGGGUUCAACUCUUAAGAAACAAGGUUGGUAGUUUGCUGGAAUUUACAAAAAACAAAUACAUAUGGUUGGCAGCAAUUGAGAGAGAUAAAAAGGUUACUGGAAUUCGAAAAAAGACAACCUUGUAGUAGGCAGGUUUGGAAAAGACAAAAAAAUAUAGAUGGACACACGUGGUCAGCCGGUUAAUUAAGGGACAAAGACUCAUACAAGUGGAGCCUUUUGAGAGAGAGAAUAGUCGGCAUCUUUGGAGGACAAAAAUUAUAUUCGGUGGCAACCAAUAUUAUAUACUUCAUACACAUGUUUGGAGGAGCCAAAAUAUAUAUUUAUACAUACAAAGAGACGGGCUGCUGGGAGUCGAAAAUACAGGCAGAAAAGUUAACCGAUUGAAAUUGAAUUCUGGGAAUUAACAGUAACAGUAAAGUGGGCGGCUGGUCAGGAUAUAUUUUUACACGCGUAUACACAAAAAAUGAGGCUGAGAAGAAUAAAUACACACCGAAGACGUAGAGACGGCACACACACAACAACAACUAGAAUUAUUCACGCUCCGUAAUUUUUUGUUGAUCUCCUUUCACUUUUAUUUUUUUAAUUCCAAUAUCAUGUUAGACUAAUUUUUCAUAUUGUUAGGAUGUGAU